rnacentral:rRNA from 1 species
AUGCUAUCUGCUGAUAGGAAAUUUACUGCUAAAUCUCUUUACCUUCAUCUCAUCAAAACUGACAUUGGCUUCCCACAAUUUUUUUUGUGGAAAACAAAGGUCCCAGCAAAAAUUAAAUUCUUCUUAUGGUUGCUAAAUAAAAAAAGUAUUCUAACUAGAGAACGUUUACUGAAAAGGGGGUGGAAGGGUGACAAGCAGUGUGUCCUAUGUGGGAAAGAGGAUGCCAUAGAUCAUCUUUUCUUUUCCUGUUCGGUUGCUAGGCUCAUCUGGAAUUUAGUUUGCUAUGCUUUUGAUUUAAAACAGAUCUCGGGCAAUUUGAAUGAUUGUUUUGGGAGCUGGCUUAGCAAAUUUCACAAAAAAAAAUGA